CGCGGAGAGGAGAGCGAGCGCGCUGCAGCCCGGCCUCCCGACACCCUUGGACGCAGCGCUCGCCGCAGCGCAGUGGCCAAGGGUGACCCACAGCCAGAGACCACUCCUGGGAGCCGGCGGACCUAGCUGGGCAGCUGAGUCCUGUUCCCCACACCUGCCUCACUGGGAGAGCACUGAACAGCCAAACAGCAAACCACCCGGCCACUGAACUCUGCGGGCCCAGGCCUGGCUCUGGGUCAAGCGACUUCCUUCUGGCCCCUGCAAAGAUGGCAGUGGCUUCCCAAACCAGCCAGACCUCUGACCACUCCUAUGUUGUCGCUCAAAGCCACUGUGCCCUCCUUUCCAACACAGGCAAUUUCACGUGCCACUCGUGGGUCCCACUGGCCUCAGUGUCCAGGAAGGGAAGCAGCCCUGGCUCCAGUCCUGGGAUGGGGCCUGCACAUGACCUGCCCAACCUGCCACCCCUCCUCUUGUCCCUGACCGUGCCUGGCCACCAUCCUGCCCACCAUACCUGCCUCCAGGGGACCCUGCCCCACCCUCCACAGGCCAGCGGGGGUGCAGGUGCCCACAGCUGAAAAGGGUGCCCGUGAUCUACCCUGUGGGAAAGGUGGCACCCCUUGCAGGGGGCAGGCCUUUGUGACUUUCUCAACUCCACUGGGGCCUCUCCUCCAAGCCAGCUGGCACCGUGGGCCAUGGCAGGGGCCACUGUGAGUGGCUGUUGCUGCACUGACACUGCCCUGCUGGGCUCCAGGCUGUGGGGCACACAGACCUCUACCUUGUCCACCGCCACAUCCUCAGAGCCUGGCAACGAGGAAGCGCUCUAGGGCACCCACCGGACAACCUUAAACUCCACCUUAGGUGCUAGCUAACGGGACAGAAAGUGGAGACCCAGCCUUGUCAGCUCAGCCCUGUCCAGCACUGCUUCCCGGGUGCCCGCUGGCCCUAGAGCCGUCUCAUUAACUAACAAUGCUGCCAGUCAGUUAAUAUUUCAUAACCCUCACAACUGCAGCACCGUCUGAUGAAAACUGGUCCCAGGUGGAGGGGUUAAUGAACUGAGCAUCUCAUGAAACAUCUGUACUCAUCCACCCCAGCAUGACUCCUUCCGCCUGCAGAAAAGCUACAGGUCUUACAAGAGGCCCAGAUUCUGUCCUCCGGGACGCUGUUGCAAUGGCAGUUAUGAAAUAUCCUUUGCAGGAAAAUGAAGGAGCGCUGACCACAGCCCUUAAUACAGCAUGUGCCGAUCUACACAAAGCCUCUCUGUGAGGCACAAGGAGUUCUUCAUGGUCUGGGCAUUGUGCCCUAGAUAAAGAGCCCCCUGCCCUGGCAGCAAAGAGAAAAACCACAAUUAGUGAAGGUCCCAAGUGGCACGCAGGAGCAGGGAGCCAGCCGGGCUGCAGACCUGAGAUGGGGCAGGGAGGCGGGGACAGAGCAGCACAGCAGACUUUCCCUGCUUGGGGCCAGGCGGUUAAGGAUGGCAGGCUUUGCGGCCUGGUGGCCUGUCUGGACAUCCUGCUCUGCCUGAGGGGAGCUGUAAGCAGUGCACAGAGUAACCGUGUGGCUGAGCACCAUCUAACUUCACUUCCCAAGACAGGCGGAGGGCCCAAGCCCUGGGCUGCAGCAGUGGUCUUCAGACGGGCGCACCCUUGUUUUCCUGCUCCUGUGAUGUCAACAGAUUGAGAGCUUUCGAGGCAUCGCCUGCAAAGGUGCUGUGGGUAAAUGUACAGGUGUGGUCGUGGCCAGGCACCACCCGAGAUGAAAAGACAGCAUCUAGUGCAGCCCCUGGACUCUGCUCACAGAUGGCACGCCCAUGGGGGACAGUCACCAGACAGCCGGGAGUGGCCCGGGGCCUGAAAAUGCUCGGGACACUGAGCAGAAUCCAACGGUCCAAGCUGCUCCUCUCUCACCAGGGCAGUCAUGGAUUUGCCACAGGCUUCUGACCAGAUUCUUGAACACUGUGUCCGGGCCAUUGGGCAGCAGAGUGCAGGCCAGGGCCGGCUGGACGCCUCUGCAGGUCCCUUGGGGAUCUGAUUCCCAGGUGGCGGUGCUAGGCUGUGGGGCCAUCCGGAGAGCGGGCCUUGAGGGCAGGGGUGCAGUGGGACUCAAAUCCCAGUAGGUUGAGGCACAAACAGCCUGUCUGCCUGUGAGGAUGCAGACAGGAGGUGGACUGGACCCCGGGUCAGCCAGAACCUGGACUGUGACUCCUGGCCUCCGAAACUAUGGGCUUCAAUCUCCGUCAUUUACACCCCCAACCAUGGUAAUACAGUGGCCUGAAAG